GGCCAGUGGGGGGAGGGGAAACCUUUUCAGACCCCCUCACAGACUUUAGGAAGCCCCCUGAAGGGCCUACAGGUUGUUCCUUUUUUCUGUGCCUGUUCUCCAUUGUGCUGAAGUUUCUUUUAAACUUUGUAACUGUGAGCCACUGUGAGAGCGUCUAACAGAGAGGCCAAUGACAGCAACUUGCCUGUUUCAUAUCAAGUACCUACCAAAGCUUCAGGCACUUCAUAAAUAGUUACAAUUUCAGGAAGAGGUUGCACAGGGAGGAAAGUCUCGUAUUUGUACAUGCUUCAUAGAAGAAUUCAUGUCACCACCAAAUUUAAAAUGAAGAACACAAAUGUUCAGCAGCCAAGCAGUUAACUAAAUGGCUGUGUUCAAGACAUUCCAAGGACAGGAGGAGGGCAUUAUGUAAAC